rnacentral:rRNA from 1 species
GGAAUCUUCGGCAAUGGGCGAAAGCCUGACCGAGCAACGCCGCGUGAAUGAAGAAGUCCUUCGGGUUGUAAAAUUCUGUUAUAAGGGAAGAAAGGUGAUAGGAGGAAAUGACUCUCAAUUGACGUUACCUUAGGAGAAAGCAACUGCUAACUACGUGCCAGCAGCCGCGGUAAUACGUAGGUGGCAAGCGUUAUCCGGAAUUAUUGGGCGUAAAGAGCGCGCAGGUGGUGAAUUAAGUCUGAUGUGAAAGCCCACGGCUUAACCGUGGAGGGUCAUUGGAAACUGGUUGACUUGAGUGCAGAAGAGGGAAGUGGAAUUCCAUGUGUAGCGGUGAAAUGCGUAGAGAUAUGGAGGAACACCAGUGGCGAAGGCGGCUUCCUGGUCUGCAACUGACACUGAGGCGCGAAAGCGUGGGGAGCAAAC